AUUGAACGCUGGCGGCAUGCCUUACACAUGCAAGUCGAACGGUAACAGGUCUUCGGAUGCUGACGAGUGGCGAACGGGUGAGUAAUACAUCGGAACGUGCCCGAUCGUGGGGGAUAACGAGGCGAAAGCUUGCUAAUACCGCAUACGAUCUACGGAUGAAAGCGGGGGAUCUUCGGACCUCGCGCGGACGGAGCGGCCGAUGGCAGAUUAGGUAGUUGGUGGGAUAAAAGCUUACCAAGCCGACGAUCUGUAGCUGGUCUGAGAGGAUGAUCAGCCACACUGGGACUGAGACACGGCCCAGACUCCUACGGGAGGCAGCAGUGGGGAAUUUUGGACAAUGGGCGAAAGCCUGAUCCAGCCAUGCCGCGUGCAGGAUGAAGGCCUUCGGGUUGUAAACUGCUUUUGUACGGAACGAAAAGCCUCUUUCUAAUAAAGAGGGGUCAUGACGGUACCGUAAGAAUAAGCACCGGCUAACUACGUG
rnacentral:rRNA from 1 species